rnacentral:rRNA from 1 species
UACAGAGGGUGCGAGCGUUAAUCGGAAUUACUGGGCGUAAAGCGUGCGUAGACGGCUAUCUAAGUCGGGUGUGAAAGCCCCGGGCUCAACCUGGGAAUUGCAUUCGAGACUGAAUAGCUAGGGUGCGGUAGAGGGAAGCGGAAUUUCCGGUGUAGCGGUGAAAUGCGUAGAUAAUCGGAAGGAACAUCAGUGGCGAAAGCGGACUCCUGGAC